rnacentral:rRNA from 1 species
CCUACGGGCGGCAGCAGUGAGGAAUAUUGGUCAAUGGACGAGAGUCUGAACCAGCCAAGUAGCGUGAAGGAUGACUGCCCUAUGGGUUGUAAACCUCUUUUAUAUGGGAAUAAAAUGUUCCACGUGUGGGAUUUUGUAUGUACCAUAUGAAUAAGGAUCGGCUAACUCCGUGCCAGCAGCCGCGGUAAUACGGAGGAUCCGAGCGUUAUCCGGAUUUAUUGGGUUUAAAGGGAGCGUAGGUGGAUUGUUAAGUCAGUUGUGAAAGUUUGCGGCUCAACCGUAAAAUUGCAGUUGAAACUGGCAGUCUUGAGUACAGUAGAGGUGGGCGGAAUGCGUGGUGUAGCGGUGAAAUGCUUAGAUAUCACGAAGAACUCCGAUUGCGAAGGCAGUUCACUGGACUGCAACUGACACUGAGGCUCGAAAGUGUGGGUAUCAAACAGGAUUAGAUACCCGAGUAGUC